ACCACUCCACCACCAUCCCAAUCUACCUCCCGCACACCACCUCGACCUCGAGAAGGUCUUCUUCCCCGGCUCCGACUACCGAUCCGCCACCAGCCUCCCUGAUCAGCACGACACCACCACUCCACCCCCACCUCCAAAAAUCUGCCAGUAGCCCACUGAUCCACCAUGUGAUCAUUUCCGUGCUUCAAUUUGACAACCGGAGCCCUCUCCGGCGAAGCCCACAACCACCCGACACCGUCGUCCGCCGGAGUCAACCUCGUCGUCGUCCUGGUGCUCGCCGGCGACCACCACCACUACCCACCUACGCGGGGUGCCACCCCGAACGCGUCCCGACCAUCGCCGCCUCCUGAAACGCUGGCGAUCGCCGCCGAAAGCGAAGAGGGGGACUAUACCGGGAGUUUUGAAGAACCUCUUGCUGAUUACUUUGGUCAAGGCAAGUAUUAUUGGACUUGGGUUAUAGUGAAAUACCUUCCUGGUUGCAUCGGAGUAGUUUUGCACCAUAUAGUAGUGAUAGUGGAAGCAUGCAUCGGUCACGUCAAUUUAAGCACUAUUGCAUGAACCCUGUUGCAUGUCAUGUGAGCACUAUUUCACUCUUCAGGUAUUUUGCUAACGUAUGAAUGUGGAUAGAAUCCAGGAGUGUAUCUCCUGCCUUGGACAUGCCGAUGGGCACGGGCUGUGUCACGACAAGACGGUGUCACUAUGGCAUGUGAGACAUGCCAGUCUUGUAACAAUACCUCCUGAGUCGGCCUAGAAUCGAGUCUUGUUCCUUUAAGCCUAACUACACACCAUGCUGCCACUUGUCUUCCUGCAAGGGGAGUGUGAUUUAGUAAGUUGUUAACCCCUUUCCAUGUAAACACCACUUAGAGAGGCCACGAUGAGGGUUCCACGGCCAUGGACUAAUGCCAGUCAUCGGGUCAGGGGGCAUGGGUGUAUCCGGCUGGGCCGAGAGGGGGGCACCCCUUGUAAUCCGCGUGUAUUAAUAAUGAUUCCAUGCUAUUCGAGA